rnacentral:tRNA from 1 species
GCGGGUGUAACUCAGCGGUAGAGUUCCUGCCUUCCAAGCAGGAUGUCGCGGGUUCGAAUCCCGUCGCCCGCU